ACGACCAAAAACGUGUUACACAACCCACAUUAUGACUAACACAAUUUUAGUAUUCUUUUCUUCUUCAAAAUAGUGUUAAAUAUAGAGAAAUAUACAUAAUUUUCUUUAAACUUCAUUUACAUAUUUCUUUGCAAAACCAACAAUUUUUUAAACUAAUCUUUAAUAUUUUUCGUUACCCAUAAUACAUAUAACGUAAAUAAUACAUUUAUACAAAAAUUUGAUGAAAAAAAUACUGAAUUACCUAAAAAAUCUGUUUCAAAAUGGCCGAAUGAAACUCAUGAGGAAGAGAAUGUCGAAUGGUGGUUGGAGAAUAAAGAAAAAAAAGGACACAUGUUGAAGGAAGUGUGGAUGUUUGGAAGUAGGGACCGCAUGUAAAGUUGACUUAAAUGCAUGGAUUUAUAAGAAAAAAGAGGGAUCCACGCGAGUUUUAAAAUAUUUAAAAAGGGGGCGGGGGACCGCGAGUGAGAGGGAGAAUGAGAGUUAGCGAGUGAGAGAGUGAUAAAAACAUAAAAUAUUAUAAUAAGGAAGGGUAAUAGGGUAAAAGGAAAAAUGUUGAUAAAUGUGGAGUAGUUAGAAAAUGGAUGGGGUAGUUAGAAUAGAAAUUUUGUGAGUGGGGCAAAUCAGAGUACUUUCCUACAUUUGAUGAGUUGAUUGUCCAUUGUACCUUCAAACAAGACUUUCUAUUUUGUUACCGUAUCGUUACUUUCUCUCUCUUUAUUUACUCUUAGAUAUUUUCUUCAGAAAUAGUAAAUCCUAAUCUCACUGCUCUGUCUUUGAUGAAGAUCCGCAACUCGCCUAAAGACACAUUCUCUUUCGCCGAUUCAGAUCUGCCACCUUAACCCCACCGUCGUCGAUUCUUGUCACCACUGUCGGCGGACUGAGUUCUUACCGGGGUUUUCAUCGCCGACGUCGAUUGCUCUCCAGUUCCGUUUGAUAAAUCUUCAUGAGUCAAAAACUGAAAACACAUUAUCGAUCUCUGUCUCCACUUUCAAAGGAAAAUUAUUGUACCAGUGAUGCUUCUCUGCAAUUCGUUUUCUUCCUUUUUGAAGAUAUUACUAUUGACAACAAUAAUUGACGGGCCAAAUACAUGAAACAAAUCAAUUGGGCUAGAGCCAAAAGGGUAGGUAUCCCACCAAGGUGCUCGUUUCCGAUCUGAAAGUCUAUGCUGAUUUGGAUAAAAAAAAGUUUGUAGGUCUGCAAUUCCAGCAACAAACUCUUGUAGAUCUGUGCGAUUCCAGAAACAAACUAUGGAAGGAGUUUUGUUUCACUCAAUCAAAAGGUGGUGGAGUUGUCAUAAGAGAUGAGUUUGUGGUGAUUACAAUUUUGGAACACUAUCCACAAGCGCCAUCACCGACAUUGUCGUCUUCUGCUCCUGCUCCCCCAUAGUGUCUGCAACUCAGGUCGUCUUCCUCUAUUCACCACUACGAAACAGACCCAAUCAAAGCUUCAAGCCACCAACAAGUACCGUCCAAGCCGUAUCCUCUGUCAUCGUUCUCUUCUCUCACCGCCGCAUUGUGGACUCUGAGCACAAAAAGUUUAUUACUGUAAUUUUGAAAUCUUUGGAAAGUUGUGUGCUUUGGAUAUUGUCCUGAUGAUCUUUGACGACAACGUGACAUAUGUAUGAAGUAGGCUGUUGAUGUUGUGUGGGUUCUAUCGAAUUUAGAUGGCUGGUUCAACUUUUUGACAUUGGCACACAUAGAUAAAUGCUUAAUCUUUCAUAAAUUCUAGAUCUUUUCUUCUCA